rnacentral:lncRNA from 10 species
CUUCCACCUUGUGAGGACACAGCAACAAGCUGCCCUCUUGGAAGCAGAAAGCAGCUCUCACCAGACAUCAAAUCUGCCAGCACAUUGAUCUUGGACUUCCCACCCUUCAGAACUACUGUCUGCGAGGGAUGAGCCUGAGGUGUCAGCAUCUUCACAGGUCUUUUGAGCCUGCAUGCACAAAAGGGUCUACUGUCCCUGGGUAUGCACAUUAACUCUCUGAAUUUCUCUGUAUAUGUGGUUACUUUUGAAUGUCUUAGAUUUUAAAUAUCUGGUUCCCAAAACCAGAUUACAAUGAAG